UUUUUAGAGCACAACAGCUAUAUCCUGGGUUUGAUCGUGAAAAUGGAGAUGUAUGGAUGUGUGUUAGUGUGGGAAGUGUUGCCUCACAAAAGUUGUUCCAAACGGAAUCAGUACAUCCAUCGCUGCUUUGGAUAAUCCUGGGUAACUGAAAUCCAUAAGUAAGCAAGCGUGGAUGCGGCAAACAUUGCCUUUAAGAUCCACUCCCUGGACAGUUCCACCAGCGUGUCCUCCACGUCGGAUGACAGGAUAAUCAGCGGGGUGAAGGGACAGCUGGAGCCCUGGAUCCUGCCCUCAGGCCAUCAAGGCUGUGGUGUGUGUCGGCCGGUUGCAGGUUGCUGCAUGGCGACAUACCCAGGAUCCAUCGCUGUUCUCAUCCUCUCCUGUCAAACAGCUAGCUUAACCAGGGACAUUCUCCUCUUGUCUAAACCUUGACCACCACCAUGACCCGACCUUUCCCCUAACCGC